rnacentral:lncRNA from 1 species
GUUGAUGCCUUACUCCGAAAAAUGAUUUUUUUUAAUAAUAUUUAAGUUUAUUAUUGCUAUGUUUUUAGGGGUGGAUUCGUGCAAGACGAACCACGUAAUUAUUCGAAAUGAACUUGGUCCUGGUAGAAGUCUAGAAUAUCAUUGCCAUUCUAAUGGAAAAGAUAAAGGCGUCCAGUUUUUAAAAUUCAAUAUGAAGAAAGGAACUUUGAAUUCCUCGAUCCUUUAUUUGGAAAAAAGAAUAAAAUGAAUUGUGUUUUGAGGCAAGGGUUGCGGAUGCAGAAUUCUUCUCGAGACUUUGAAGCAUACCAUACAAGUAAAAAAAAAUCUUUGUGGACAGACUCGUGAAUGGAUUGCGAGAACAGAUGGAACUUACUUUCAAAGAAAUCGAAUUAAGCCAGCAGCGUUUGUGUUUCCUUGGAUUAAUAAAAAACCUUAAAAAAAUCUAAUUGAUGUUUCUGAUUAAGAACCUCAAAAUCUUUAAUCGUUUCUAAUUUUAAUUAUUGUUGUUCGUUUUGUAAACUUUGUCAUGAUUCUGCUUUCGUGUCGAAUAUUAAGAAAAUAAAUAUUGUAUCUAUGUAUAUUUUUUUUGUUUGUCAUCUAUUUAUAAUGUGUUUUAAAUAAUACGUAUGAGUGUUUCAAAAAAAAAAAAUACGUAUGCAAAAAAACAAACUGGAUUUUGUGGACAAACUAUGUUCUUGGUAUCUUCACGGCUCGUGACUCUUACACCAUCAUCAAGGGUUCUUGUCCUUAUUCGGCUUUGCUUUCGGAAUGUAAGAACAACACCUUCAUUAUCUAUUAUCUUCUGCACAAGAAUAAAUCAAACUAAAUAUCCCAAAUAUUUAUCUGCAUCAAACUCUAAGAAUCAUCCACCAACUCCACUCUCACUUCACCACUGCUGGCGUGUUGUUCUCCAAACUCUGGUGGAAACUAUUUACUAUUCAAUCCUCUACUUGGCGAAACACCUAGCUCUUCAUGCUUACUCUCCCUCUACGACCAACACCAACAGCUUCACUUCCUGUCUGAUCACCACGACCAAAGACUGCCUCCUUUCGAUAGCUUCACUUACCUCUUUCUCCUCAAAGCAGUACUUCGAAUCCUCGUUUGAGGACUCCAUGGUUUGACGAUAGCUUCACAUAACACUUUUAGAAUUGUUUCUAAGAUGAAAAAUCCUACGGUGGUGAUCACAUUUCAACCCAACUAAACCAAAGCGGUGUAUUGUACUACGAAAACGCCCGAGAAGAUCUGCUUCUUCUUUUCUUUUGUCUACGUAGUGCCAAAGAAAGGCUACUCUCAAGUAAGCUAGAACAGCCUCUAACUAAGCAGCUCAUCUCAUCUCUCCCAUCAGCGAGUAAUUAAGUAAUACAGACUCGCAUGUUCUUCAGAAUAAUUCGGGCUUUUUUUUGUUGUUAUGCUUUCUUGUCAAGCACUUUACCAGUAAAAAAGACAUGUUAAUAGAAUUCUCAACUGUGAUAUGUUCUACAUUUGUAUCAUUGCCACUUUCCCUGUUGAGUCCUUAGUUACCUCUCUUUGUGUUAAAUUUCUACAUUUUCAUUUUUUUUUUUUUAUCAUUGCAGUACGUACCAAGUAUGAAAACUUAAGAUAUACUUAUAUCCCACUCUCUGUUGGGGUACAUUUGUAUAUGUUACGAACUUGAAGUGGAUUCUUCUACCAUUCUGAUGUGGAACCUAACUAAACUUCAAUUUUCGAAAACUCGAUCACUCAUUUAUAAAAGCCGUAUUGAAUCGAUCUAGUUACCAGUAAGCAGAAAGAGAUGGGUCAUAAGGACUUUUUGCCCACAUUAUCAAUGUCCUCCAUGUGGAACAUGAGUGGGCUUUCAUAGGCAAGGGUAGUUGAUUAAAUAUUUUCCAUAGGCAAGGUUGUUGGUUAAAGACUUGCACUUAAGCAUGUGUGGCAGGAACACGAAAACAAAAACAAACAAACAAACAAACAAAUAAAAACUGUGGAGGCAGAAGAAGAAGCUUGGCUGUUAGUGAUGUCGAUUGUUGUGGAUGUCAACAGAGUAUCAGAUAUCUGUGAGAGUUCAAGUAGGAGAACCCGAGAUGAAAGUGUCUUUGAGAAAUUGAAGAAGGCGGCUCAAGAUGGAGACAUCGAAGAAUUGUAUAAACUGAUAGCUGAGGAACAAAACAUUCUAGACCACUUUGAUGAAGUGCCUUUCUGUGAGACGCCAUUACACCUGGCAGCUGAAAACGGGAAAACCCAUUUUGCGAUGGAACUAGUGACUCUUAAGCCGUCGCUUGCAUUGAAGCUAAACGUGUCAGGCUUCAGCCCAAUCCAUUUAGCCCUGCAAAACAACCACGUGAGAAUGGUUAGAGGGUUUAUAGCAAUCGACAGCAGCUUAGUUAGAAUCAUGGGAAGAGGUAGGAUUACCCCUUUGCACCAUGUGGCUAGAAUAGGUGAUGCAGAAUUGCUUAGUGAGAUCUUGAUGGCUUGUCCCUCUUCAAUAGAAGAUUUAACAAUAAAGCGUGAGACAGCUGUGCAUAUUGCGGUAAAGAACCACCAGUUUAUGGCGUUCAAGGUUCUGUUUGGAUGGAUCAAGAGAGCGAACAGGGUGGAAAUCUUGGAUUGGAAGGAUGAAGACGGUAACACAGUCUUCCAUAUUGCUGCAGCUAUCAAUCAGACUGAGGUAAAAAAAAUGUCUCUCUUAUUUUAAUAUUUUUUGCCUUAAUUAUUUGUGUUUAUACAUUGCUGGCUUUUGAUCUGCUUCUUAAUCGGUUUCUGUGACCUUGUAUAUUUUAUUUACGUCCCAUAUUUUUUAAACCCUUUAAAUUAAUAUUAAUUUAAAAUUCUGAAUACAUAUUUUUAAAUAUAUAUUACAACUUUUUUGUAUUAUGAUUUUGCAUAAAAUUCCUGCUAGCAUAAAAUUAUAUAUAUUUUGGGUGUGAGAUUCUACGUAACAUCCUGCUGGAUUUUUGUAGGUCAUGGCGUUGCUACGUAAAAGCGUUAAAAUAGCAGCCAAGAAUUUGAAUGGCAAAACGGCGAUGGAUAUAUUCGAAGCUCACCAGCCUCCUUGUUUCCCUGAAGCAAGAACAAUUCUCCGUAGUGCCAAAGAAAGGCUAUUUAGUUGUUCCACAAUAACUCUUGCAGAAUAUUUGAGCAAAGAUCUAACGUUUCUCGAGAAACGGAACAAUUUCUUAGGGCUGAGCAAUUUAAGCAUAUCUAGAGCCAGACCUCUAACCAGUAGCCAUCGCCGUGAUGCAAUAUAUGUGGUGGUUAUACUUAUAAUAACAACUUCAUUCCAGGCUGGUUUUAGUCCUCCAGGCGGAUUUUGGCAGGAGGACGGCGUGGAUCAUCAUAACGUCUAUCACAAAGCUGGGCAAAUGACUAUGUCUUUCUCCAAUGCCUUAAUUUUUAAUGGCUUCAACGGGUUUGCCUUCUUAUCAUCCCUAUACGUGAUCAUGAUCCUCACAAUUGGACUUCCCAUGUGGAAGUUAAUCUAUUGUUCAACGGCGUGUUUAGGUCUCGCUUUGUUAGCAUCAUACGGCACUAUAUUCCCGUAUCCUGAUGACAGCUAUAUAGGGUAUAUCCCAUUGAUCGCCUUCGUCUAUGUAUUCCCAUUGAUUAUCACAAUCAUGCUGUUUAGUGUUUUCAUGGCAUUCAUUGUUGACAAACGUGGCCGGAGACUAGUAGACUUCCCGGCGAGCUGCUUCAGCUCAUCUCAUGAGUUGUCGCUAUGAUCAUUAGAAUACGUUGAAAACAUGAUACCAUGCACGAGGAAUAUUAGUUAUCUUUCAAUGUGGGACUAUGAUGUGUGGAGCCAAAGAGAGAACCAAAGAAGAGUUUGAAAGUUCUUGCUAUAUGGAUCCUUUAAUUGUAUGGAGACUGUAAUGGGACACUUGUAACUGAAAUAAACUCUUAUGUGUUUUUCAAGCUAGCUAGUGUUAUGAAUUUAAAUUGUCAACUAGUUCGUUCUAAUAACUAGUUUCUCAGCUGAAAUUAAACGCUGUUUAUUUCAUACUCUUUCGUUCAAUUCAUUUUGCUGAUCUUGUUUCCCUUGAUUAUUUGUUGCUUGCUGAGUCUUGUUUUGCUUCUAGAAAAUUGAUUAAUAUUUAGAGAACUUACACAAAAGUGGCAGAUAGACUAGAGGAUAGUUUUCAAGGUUGAGUAUUGAAAACAUGUACAAAUUACAAUGACCAUUACUCAGAGGAAGUCUGGAAGGGGCUAACACUGAAUUUGCUCUCUACACAGUAUAUGAGUCAAUGAAAUCAUAUUAUGCAACUCCUUCUGGAACAGGCUCGGGACAGAACUCAGUUAUUCAUAAUGAGAUACGUAAAGGUAUUUUUUUCAAAAAAAAAGAGAUACGUAACGGUAUCUCACGUAACAAUGUAUGUCAUAUGGUGAAAAAGCAAUCAACCGAAACAUGGUGAAUCGCCCAGCAAAAAUCAUCCAAAUGGUAGACAGACAGGUUCGCAAUCGUCUAUCAUCAGUCCGAGGUAUGUGUAUGCAAACUUAUGAUGAAGGCUGGAGGCAUGGUUAACUGCACGAUAGUUUCAUCAUUCUUUUAAAUAAAUUAUUAUGUUAGUAUCAAACACUCGGCACCAAAACAACCCUCUUUGUAAAAUUAAAGCUUUAAUGGUUUUGAAUCUCAAAUCAAAUUCCUUUGAUCUACGAUCAAAUUUUCGAAAAUCCUAAAACUCUAAUUCGAAAACUAUUGAUUGAUUAAACUGAUUGAAUGAUUGAGAUUGAGAUUGAGAUUGAAUUUGAUCACCCUGAAAUUAUAAUUGCUUGUUAAUCAAAUCGAAACCCUAAAGCCUUAAUUUGAAAAUCGAUUUUAUUGUUUGAAAUUGAACAUUGAUUGAUUGAUUUGAUCACUUAGAACUAUUGUUAAGAUUGUUUAAACUUUAAAUCUGAAUGAAUUGAAAUUGUUUGACUUGUUUAAAUUGAAACCCUAAUAACCUAGUAUAUAUUAUUUUGAAAUCGAAUCUGAAUUGUGGCAGUGUGGCUUUGCUGCAUACAAGGUUAAUUUUUCUAGAUCAUAACUCGUGGCCGUGUGGCCUUGUUGCAUUCAUACCCUAAUUUGAUCACAAUUGAUUGAUUGCAAAUUACACUUAGAACUUUAUUCUAGGAAUGAUAUUGAAUUGAAAUCAAGUAGCCGUGAGGCUUGUUCUUUGCUUGGCCGAGAGUUUGCUUGUAUUGAUUGCAUCAUAUGAACUACUAGAAACAAUGCUAAAAUUGCAAUUACACAAACUGAAUGCAUUAAAACUGAAUUGAAUCAAUGGCCGUCCGGCUUGUUUAUUGUAUUUGGAUGUGUGGCAUAGAUCUUGGCCGUGAUGCAUAGAUCUUGGCCGUGAGUCUUGAUUGAUUGUUUGAACUUAAAACCCUGUUUGUUUAAACCCUAUUCCUAUAAGAUCUAAAUAAAAUAAUCUAUGAUUUCAGAUGUCGAAAAUCAAUAACUUGGAUUUUGCUGCCCUAAAUCUCUUUGGAGAUAAUUACCUUUAGUGGGCGCUUGAUACUAAGAUCAUCCUGAAAUCCAAGAGUCUCGGUGAAUGUAUCACUGAGGACAAUAAUGCUAAUGAGAAAGAUCGUUACAGAGCCAUCUUGAUUAUUCGCCAUCAUCUAGCUGAGAGUCUCAAGGAUCAGUAUCUAACCAUUGAGAAUCCACUAGAUCUUUAGAAUGAAUUGAAAUCGAGAUAUGAUCACCAGAGAAUGGUGAUCUUACCUAAAGCUCGUUUUGAUUGGACGAAUCUCAUGAUCCACGACUAUAAAUCUGUGGACGAGUAUAACUCUACACUGUUUAAAAUUGCUUCUAAAAUGAAAUUGUGUGGUGAAAGUUUACGGAUGAGAAUAUGCUUGAGAAAACAUUUUUCACUUUCCACACAAGCAAUGUGAUGUUACAACAAUAGUACCGUGAGAAAGGUUUUAAAACCUAUGCUGAUCUUAUUUCUUGUCUCUUGCUCUGAGCAGAACAAUGAAUUACUAAUGAGAAACAGUCAGAUGAGACCUAUUGGAUCAGCUCUACUACCUGAAGCACACACGACAGAGGACAAUAAAGAGUCCGACCACGUCCAAGGAAACGGCCAGCAUGGCCGUAGUCGAGACAAGUCGAACGGACGUGGCCGCGGUCGAAGAUCUUUUGGCCGUGGACGAGGGAAUGGUCGAGACCAUGGACGUGACCGUGGCUCAUUUGGACGAGGUCAUGGUCGCGGCCGUGGGUCUUAAUUCAAACCCCAACACUCGACCAAAUCAAGCAAAUCAUUGUGCCAUAGAUGUGGUAUGGACAAUCAUUGGGCUAAGACUUGUAGGACUCUCAAGCAUCUAGUUGACCUCUAUCAAGAGAGUUUGAAAGGAAAGAAUCCUGAAGCCCAUAUGACUUAUCAAGAUGAUGAAAAUGAUUUCAAUCAUGAAAAGGAUGAUCUCAUGGAUUAUGAAACUUCAGAUUGUCUAAAAGACUGAAGAUUGAUUUCGACAUUUUUAAUCUAAAUUUUGGUGUUCUUUGAUUUGGUGUUUUUCAUUUCCAUGUUGUCAUUUCUUUAAACUUAUUUUAAACCCUAAUAAUAAAUGAAUGAUUUUAUUACUUGAAAACGCCAAUAUGAGUUUAUAAAUUGCGGGUAUGGUACACAUUAAGGGCUACGGCCAGAUAUGUGUAAGGGCAAGCACUUAGAUGCUUUAUAUUCACCCAGAAAAACCCAUUGAGAUUAUAAAAUAUUGAGAUAUAAGAAUUGUUUUCACAAUGAUACAAUGGGCAAAAGGAAACAAAAUUUCCUUCAGAGUUAUGAAAAUCGCCCAAGAAAAAUGAUCUAGACUAUACAUGCAUUUUCCAUUGAUCUAGACUAUGUCAAGAUCAAUAUGAUAGAGGCAAAAGUCAUGGUAACCAGAAUAGGUUUACCCAUGAAAUUAUACACUUUAAGGCAUGACCGGAUUGACCAUCCUAGUCUAAAACAUGAUGCGAAAUUAAUAUUGGAAAGGGCACAAAGAUUUAUUCCAUAGAAUCUCAUGUGUGUAGUAUGAACACAAGGAAAACUCAUUAGACCAUGAUAUCCCAAACAUUUAAAGAUUAUAGUAUGUCCAAAGGAAACCUUAGAAGAUCUGCACAUGUCCAUUAUGAAACAAUCAAUUUUCUGAUUUGGACAUGACCUUCAGUAGAUGUACAUGUCCAAUCAAAUUUGAAUUUCUUGGCUAAGAACAAUUCGAAUUUCAAACCUUGAGGGGACAGUGAGGACAAAUCCACACAUGUCCAUACUAUAUAUAGCUUGGCUGAAUCCUUUUAUAAAUCUGUAUUGGUCAUUACCCAUAGGUCCAAACUCUCAGUCCAAGGCUUGGGGACACAAGAAUUUACAUGCAUCUUAACUAAUAAGCAUCAGACCAUUUAAGUGAGCAUAGAUAUUCUCAUCUCAAAUUUAUUACGGGUCAUGAGCCAGACAUAUAUCAUCUUGAGAUAUUUGGAUAAGCCACCACAAAUAUAUGUGCCGUCUAAGAUGGAUCCUUAGAAGAGGAUGAGGAUGGGGAUAUAUGUUGGAUAUGAAUCUCCCACGAUAAUGAAGUACCUUGAGCCAAAUAUGGGUGAUAUAUUUAGUGGCCAAGAACAAGGAUUGCAAGAGUUAAUCCAACUAUCCAACAUCAGGGGGAGAAAAGUAAUAAGUUGGUAAAGAUAAAAGAAUAAAAGGAUGGUAAAGAAAUAGAAUGGAAUAAACCAUCAUUGUCUUGGCAAGAUCCUCGGACUAAAGUGAAAUAAGACGUCCAAAGAUAAAUAUAAAGAUUAUACAAGCUAGCUAAACAAAUGCCAGACACAAUUGACCCGAAAAGAAUGAAUAAGUUAUAAACCCGCUUGUAAAGCACCAACGAAAUUGAUGUCCAAUAAAGACAUAGUCAAGUUGCUACAGAGUCUAUACAAGAUAGACCAAUAAGUUCCAAAAGAUAAGAAUCCUCAGAAACAAAAGAGAAAGGUGCAUAGAAUGAUAAAACAAAUCCGAGGUCAAGGAAACCAUCCCAGACAUAGACAAUCGCCGGCCAAUCUAAGGUACCACCCAAUGGAGUUUGGGACGCCAAACUCCAUAGUACUAAUGGUCAUGGAGGUAAUAAGGUUGCAACCAAUUAUGUUAUGUCUGGAAUGUAAUGGAACAUAUAAAGAAUGUCGACAUACGAUGAUAUAAGAAAGCACAUAAAAGGUAGCCUUUGAAUAUAUGAAUAUAAGCGAAGAUCAUGAACCCACGUCAAUAUAAGACUGUACACUCAUAGAUCAGAUUAGACUGAAAUGGAAACGUGGGGUUAAAUAAUUUAAAGAAGAGAGGCGUAUUUGGCAAAUAAAUAAAGACACCCUAUGAUUAAACCAGUGGAAUAUAUAUGAGUCUUGUGAGAAGUAAAAUCAUGAGAUAAAGAACAUAAUCACGUGGUCUAAGUUGUCCACGUUUCUACUUACAAUAUUCAAGCAUGGCUUGCUACACAAGGAUUCACACUGAGACCAGGAAUAGAGACUGUGGUGGAUGCUACUACAUAUUUCGAAAUUGAUAAAGUCUGGACAAAGAAAUUAGAUUAAUGUAUAAAGGAUGUAGUAAGCAGCAUAUGGUCCACUGGAUAAAAGAAAUAUAUUGAACUCAAUAACGAAAUUAUGUUUGGGAUUACAGCUUGAGUACAUAAAUGAUGAUAUCCUUGUGCAUCAAAUGGCAUAUACAGAAAAGGUACUCAAGAGAUUCAAUAUGGCUGAUUGUCGUCCUUUGACCAGUCCAAUGGUCGUGAGAUCUUUCGGUCUGGACACUGAUCCCUUCUGUCCCAAGAUGGACGAUGAGGAUGUCCUAGGUCCCAAAAUGCCAUAUCUCAGUGCCAUAGGAGUUUUAAUGUAUUUGGCAACUCAUACACGACCUGAUAUAAGCUUUUCCGUGAACCUACUAUCUAGGUUUAGCUCUUGUCCGACCCAGAGGCACUGGAACGGGAUCAAACAUGUUCUUCGUUACCUGCAAGGAACGAAAGACUUGAGUCUGUUUUAUACUAACCAUAAAAAUGGUUUAGUUGGCUUUGCUGAUGCUGGUUAUUUAUUAGAUCCACAUCAUGCUCGAUCACAGAAAGGAUAUGUCUUUACACAUGGAGGUACAACCAUAUCAUGGCGUUCCAUGAAGCAGACCAUCGCGGCCACAUCAUCCAAUCACUUGGAAAUAUUGGCUAUUCAUGAGGCCAGCCGCGAGGUCGUUUGGUUGAGGUCGAUGACCCAACACGUCCGAGCUGAUUGUAGGAUGACCGAGUACAAAGAGCCAACUGUGAUGCAUGAGGACAAUGAUGCUUACAUUGCUCAGCUCAAGGACGGCUAUAUUAAAGGAGAUAGGACGAAGCACAUGUUGCCUAAGUUCUUCUUCACGCAUGAGCUUCAGAAAGCCUGCGAGGUCCUGGUCGUCCAAGUAUGAUCCAAUGACAAUUUAGCUGACCUAUUUACUAAGGCACUUUCGACCUGCACGUUCAAGAAGCUCACGCAUCAGAUUGAGAUGUGUAGGCUGAAAGACCUUCACUGAGGUCCACAUCAGGGGGAGUAGUACGUGUUGUACUCUUUUUCCUUCAUCAUGAUUUUGUCCCACUGGGUUUUCCUGAUAAGGUUUUAAUGAGGCAACAUUAAGCGUAUUACAAUCCAUGGUUAUGGCAUCCAAGGGGAAGUGUUAUAAAUCAAUUGAUGGAUGUCCAUAACCGGCACGGUCCAUAACCGGCACCAAGACAGAGAGUCGGCCUAACCCUAGAGAGAGAGAGGCGGCCACGACAUGGAGAGAGAAAGAGAGGCGGCUUACAUAACUUUAGGAGAAAAUGAAAUCAUAUUUCAUUUUCCUUGUAUUUGUACACUUUUUAUAUUACAUCUUUCUUUUUAUCUAUCUUGUAAUUUCUUAUAUAAAAUGAACACUUUAUGAUUAAUGAAUACAAAACUUACAGAUUCUAAAUCCUAAGUUUUAUAACAUUUAUUUUGUACAAAUUGAACAAUUUAUUUGUUUCGUAGGCUCAAUCAUUCUUCGCAAGAGUGUGUUAUGUUUUUCGUUUUUUUCUUUCUAAAUCGAACAAUUCAUCUUUUGAUUUUCAGAAUCGAGGAACAAUCCACUCAUGAUUCAUACCUCUACUUCGAGAACAAAAACCGAGUAUGAAAAGAGUUGUAAAUAUCUCACAACCAAUCAAAAACACCAAAACUAGAAAAUUGUGGUUUUCCGGUAAAACUAACACAAUGGGUUUUCCCUUCAAAACUAUAAAUUAUGUUUUUCUCUUAAAAUCACACAAUAGAUUUUUUUUUUCUGUUGAAACAUAAAAUCAAAUUUUCCUUCUAAAACCACAAAAUCAAAUUUUUAUAAAAAAAAAAACUAAAAUUAGAUUUUUCUAUGAGAAUUUUUAAAUCAAGUUUUCUCAGCAAAACUAAAAACUAGUUGUUCCAUCAAACUGAAAAAUCAGACUUUUGCGGCUUACAAACCAGAAAUCGUCGACGUGCUUUUAUUAGUACAAUUUUUUUUUUAAUCGUCUCUGGUAAGCCACGUAAGCACAUUCUGCACCUCUAACAGAGUUGUUAUGGCUGCUACUAUAUGCAUUAGGUAAAAUUCUAAUUGUGAACUCAAGAAGAUGAAAUAGAAAGGAGGAUCGGAUCAUAUAUUUAUAAUUUGGAUCGUUUCUGGUUGUGGGUCUAAUUUAUUUUCAAAAACUGAUUUGUUCCAGAAAUGAUUUUAAAUAGUUGUUUAACAUAUUUUGAAUUUUUUUUGUAUAAACUCAUGCAUUAAGAAGAAGAAUUGUAGUUUUGACACAUUUCUGCGUAUGAGUUUUAACAUUAUCCAAUACUCUUAUGUAGAUACAAAACAUUUUUCUAUUUAUUGUAAAGUUAUAUAUGAUAUGAUACUUUAUGGAUAAAAUUAUUUCCUACUAGUUCAAAAUAUUUUUGAUCAGUAUUAAAUAAUACAUUUGCAAAAGAUUUGCUUGAUUCUAGACUUUUAGCGUUGUUGAUGUCAAAAAAAGCAUUGUUGAUGUCAAAAAAAAGCAUGCUGAUGUCUUCUACAGUUCUACUUAGCUAAAUUUGUAAGGUUGCUUUUUUUUAAUUGAUCAACCGUACUUUUUGACGCAAAAUUCCCUCCUUGCCAGAAUAUUAGUUGGUUUAUAUUUGUGUUUAAAUUUGGCUAAUGAAAGAAAUAAAAACUUAUAUAUGUAAUCAAAAACUGUUAAAGGAAUUAUAAAACUGCAUGUUGAUUGCCUUUACUCCGAAAAAUGAAUUUUUUUAUAAUAUUUAUGUUGAUUAUUGCUAUGAUUUUAGGGGUGAGCGAAGCAAUUUGGCAUAAAGUUGUUGCGCCUUUGUCUAAGUGUGAGAAGAACCGAGUAAUUAUUCGAAAUGAACUUGGUCCAGGUAGAAGUCUAGAAUAUCAUUGUCAUUCUAAUGGUAAAGAUCAAGGCGUCCAGUUUUUAAAAUUCAAUGAAGAAAGGAACUUUGAAUUUGUCGAUCAUUUUUUUGGAAAAAAAAAUAAAGUGAAUUGUGUUUUGAGGCAAGGGUUGUGGAUGCAGAGUUCUUCUCGAGACUUUGAAGCAUACCAUACAAGUAAAAGUAAUGGUAACAAUUGUGGACAGACUCGUGAAUGGAUUGCGAGAACAGAUGGAACAUACUUUCAAAGAAAUCGAAUUAAGCCAGCAGCUUUUGUGUUUGCUUGGAUUAAUAAAAAACCUUAAAAAAAUCUAAUUGAUGUUUCUGAUUAAGACACUCAAAAUCUUUAAUCGUUUCUAAUUUUAAUUAUUGUUGUUCGUUUUGUAAACUUUGUCAUGAUUCUGCUUUCGUGUCGAAUAUUAAGAAAAUAAAUAUUGUAUCUAUGUAAUUAUGUAUAUUUUUUUGUUUGUCAUCUAUUUAUAAUGUGUUUUAAAUAAUAAGUAU